rnacentral:rRNA from 1 species
UCAGGACGAACGCUGGCGGCGUGCCUAAUACAUGCAAGUCGAACGGUCUUUCUAUGGAAGCUUGCUUCCACUGAGAAGAUAGUGGCGAACGGGUGAGUAACACGUGGGUAACCUGCCCAUAAGAGGGGGGAUAACAUCCGGAAACGGGUGCUAAUACCGCAUAGUUUUCUUGAUCGCAUGAUCGGGAAAGGAAAGACGGCCUUUGUGCUGUCGCUUAUGGAUGGACCCGCGGCGUAUUAGUUAGUUGGUGAGGUAACGGCUCACCAAGACGAUGAUACGUAGCCGACCUGAGAGGGUGAUCGGCCACAUUGGGACUGAGACACGGCCCAAACUCCUACGGGAGGCAGCAGUAGGGAAUCUUCCGCAAUGGACGAAAGUCUGACGGAGCAACGCCGCGUGAGUGAAAGAAGGUUUUCGGAUCGUAAAACUCUGUUGUCAGAGAAGAACAAGUUGGAGAGUAACUGCUCCAGCCUUGACGGUAUCUGACCAGAAAGCCACGGCUAACUACGUGCCAGCCGCCGC